UCAUAAGCCGCCAUCAUGGUGACGCUCGCAAAGGCCGGUAAAAAUCAAGGCGACUCCAAGAAAAUGGCUCCUCCCCAAAGGAGGUAGAAGAAGAUAGUGAAGAUGAGGAAAUGUCAGAAGAUGAAGACGAUGAGAGCAGUGGAGAAGAGGUUGUUAUCCCUCAGAAAAAAGGCAAGAAGGCUACCACGACUCCAGCAAAGAAGAUGAUGGUUUCCCCAACAAAAAAGGUUGCAGUUGCCACACCGGCAAAGAAAGCAGUUGUCACCCCUGGCAAAAAGGCAGCAGCUAUGCCAGCCAAGAAGACAGUUACACCUGCCAAAGCAGUGGUAACACCUGGCAAAAAGGGAGCCACCCCAGGCAAAGCAUUGGUAGCAACCUCUGGUAAGAAGGGAGCAGCUGCCUCAGGCAAGGGAGCAAAGAACGGCAAGAAUGCCAAGAAGGAAGACAGUGAUGAAGAAGAGGAAGAUGACAGUGAAGAGGAAGACGAUGAAGAUGAAGAGGAGGAUGAACCAGCAGUGAGGAAGGCAGCUGCUGCUUUUGGUGCUGCUCCUGCCACAGAUGAUGAGGAUGACGAGGAUGAGGAUGAUGAUGAUGAGGAGGAGGAUGAGGAGGAUGAGGAGGACGAAGAUGACUCUGAAGAAGAACCUAUGGAGAUUGUACCAGCCAAAGGAAAGAAGGCUCCAGUAAAAGCUGUUCCUGUGAAGGCCAAGAGCACUGCUGAAGAUGAAGAUGAAGAGGAUGAUGAUGAUGAAGAGGAGGGGGAAGAGGAUGACGAUGAUGAAGAGGAGGAUGAUGAGGAGGAGGAAGAAAAGGAGGAGGAGGAGGAAGAAAAGGAGGAAGAGGAAGAAGAGCCUGUCAAAGAAGCACCUGGAAAACGAAAGAAGGAAAUGGUCAAACAAAAAGCAGCUCCUGAAGGCAAGAAACAAAAAGUGGAAGGCACAGAACCAACUACAUCUUUCAAUCUCUUUGUUGGAAACCUGAACUUCAAUAAAUCUGCUCCUGAAUUGAAAACAGGUAUCAGUGAUCUUUUUGCUAAAAAUGAUCUUGCUGUUGUUGAUGUCAGAAUUGGUGUGUCUAGGAAGUUUGGCUAUGUGGAUUUUGAAUCUGCCGAAGACCUGGAAAAAGCCUUGGAACUCACUGGUUUAAAAGUCUUUGGCAAUGAAAUUAAACUAGAAAAACCAAAGGGAAAAGACAGUAAGAAAGAUCUAGAUGCAAGAACACUUUUGGCUAAAAAUCUGCCUUACAAAGUUACUCAGGAUGAAUUAAAAGAAGUGUUUGAAGAUGCUGUGGAGAUCAGAUUAGUCAGCAAGGAUGGAAAGAGUAAAGGGAUUGCUUAUAUUGAAUUUAAGACAGAAGCUGAUGCAGAAAAAACCUUGGAAGAAAAGCAGGGAACAGAGAUAGAUGGGUGAUCCAUUUCUCUGUACUACACUGGAAAGAAAGGUCAAAGUCAAGACCAUACAGGGGGAAAGAAUAGCACUUGGAGUGGUGAAUCAAAAACUCUGGUUUUAAGCAACCUCUCCUAUAGUGCAAUGGAAGAAACUCUUCAGGAAGUUUUUGAGAAGGCAACUCAUAUCAAGGUGCCCCAGAACCAAAAUGGCAAAUCUAAAGGGUAUGCAUUUAUAGAAUUUGCUUCAUUUGAAGAUGCUAAAGAAGCUUUAAAUUCAUGUAAUAAAAGGGAACUUGAGGGCAGAGCCAUCAGACUGGAGUUGCAAGGACCCAGGGGAUCACCUAAUGCAAGAAACCAGCCAUCCAAAACUGUUUGUCAAAGGUCUCUAUGAGGAUACCACAGAAGAGACAUUAAAGGAGUCGUUUGAUGGCUCUAUUCAAGCAAGGAUAGUCACUGACCGUGAGACUGGAUCCUCCAAGGGGUUUGGUUUUGUAGACUUCAAUAGUGAGGAAGAUGCCAAAGUUGCCAAGGAGGCCAUGGAAGAUGGUGAAAUCGAUGGAAACAAAGUCACUUUAGACUGGGCCAAACCUAAGGGUGAAGGUGGCUUUGGAGGCUGAGGUGGAUUUGGUGGCAGAGGCCGGGGAGGCUUUGGAGGGCGAGGAGGCUUCCGAGGAGGCAGAGGAGGAGGAGGAGACCACAAGCCACCAGGAAAGAAGACGAAGUUUGAAUAGUUUCUUCUAUCCCUGUCUCUCCCUCUUCCAUUUGAAAGAAAGGACUCUGGGGUUUUUACUCUGUUACCUGAUCAAUGACAGAGCCUUCUGAGGACAUUCCAAGACAGUAUACAGCCCUGUGGUCUACUUGGAAAUCCGUAUAGAUAACAUUUCAAGGGAGAUAACCCUGUUGGUGUUGACUGGAUAUUCGUAUAAACUUUUUAAAGAGAUGAGUGAUAGAGCUAACCCUUAUCUGUAAGUUUUGAAUUUAUAUUGUUUCUUCCCAUGUACAAAACCAUUUUUUUCCUACGGAGUUGGUUUUUUUUUUUUUUUUUUUUUUGCGUUGGGGGGUGUAAAGGAAAGCAGAAUGUUUUAUCAUGAUUUUUGCUUCAGCAAUUUUGGGACAAAUUUAAAGUCCUAGAACUCUGGUGCCAGCCUUGUUAAAAAAAAAAAAAAGAAAAAUUGGUAAAAAGGGCUUCAUCCAAAUCAAAAACUUCUCCUCUUCGCCCUGUUUGGUAGAUGAAAAGACAAGCUUCAGAGUGGGAGAAAAAUAUUUGCAAACCAUGUACUGACAAGAACUGAUAGCCUGGGCAUAUACAGAACUCCCAAAACUCAACAGUAGAGCUUCCCCAGUGCCUCAGUGGUAAAGAACCCACUUGCCAACUCAGGAGACACAGGUUUGACCCCACGAGCCUCAGGACAGCUGAGCCACAACUACUGAAGCCCGCGUGCUCUAGAGCCCGCGCUCCGCAGCAGGGGAAGCAGCACCACGAGAAGCCACGAGCUAUAAUGAAGAGCAGCCUCUGCUGCCGCAACAGAGAAAAGCUCAUGCAGCAACAGACUCAGCACGGCCAGAAGUAAAUAAAUUAAUAGUUUUAAAUAUAUGUAAAAAAUUUUUUUAACUCCACAGUAAAAAACAAAGAAUCCAAAUAGAUAACAGACAGAAGAGUUGGAGAGGCAUUUGACCAAAGAGUAUAUACAGGUGGCAAAUAAACCUAUGGAAAGAUAUUCAACAGCACUGGCCGUUAGAGACUGUAACCAAUGGGUAAGUGGUUAAACAAAUGAACUGUUUUACAUCUACGCCGUGGAAUAUUACUCAGCAAUGAAAAAGAAUGGACUAACUAGUGAUAUGUGCAACAAUGUGGAUGAAUCUCCAGUGAAUUAUGCUGAAGGAAAAAGCCAAUCCUCCACAGUUAUACUGUGUGAAUCCGCUUAUAUAAAGCUCUUGAAACAUUAACAUGGAGAAGAAAUCACAGGUUACGGAUGUGGUGGGUAUGGGACAGCAAAGGUAAAUUUGGAAAUGUGGUUGCAGUAUGUGUAGACAGGUACUCCUUAAAAGCUUCGGUUUUCUUUGUGAAGGGGAAGGCAAGGUUGUCCGCUAAGACUGAAGGGAUGGAUUAACUUCUAUUCCCAGAAUCUAAUCCAGUUUCUGGGACACAGAUCUUUUAAUAAAUGAGCUUACUGAA